CCAGAAGAGAGGGCUGAAGGCCACGCAGAGAGCGGCAGCCUGUCCGAAGCCCCGGGCAGCAGCCACAAGAGGCCGGAGACACAGUCGGUCAUCCUGUACGACUGCUCAGAGGAGGAGCUGAUGGCCAGCAUCGAGCAGGAAUACUGCCGCUGAGGGGCCGCCAGUGCCCGCCGACGGGCCUCUGAACCUGGGCUGGGGGUGCACAUCCCCCCGCCCCCCCGGGCUGGACUGGAGCCGGAGGUGAGCCGCUGCCAACAUGCAGCUCCUCACGGACCUUUCAAACCCGCCUUUCCAGUCCCCGCGUCUGGAACGCGGCCGCUGCUGGCGUCGUGCCGGCCGGGGAGAGGUGGUCAGCGGCGCAGGCUCAGCCAGACGCAGGGGCAGGUGACCUCCGACAGCUGCCCUCCUCUCGGUCUCAGGAGGGCCUGUCGACCAGGUCUGCCAGAGCCUGAACGCUCCCUCUUUCUGGUGGCCGGCUCUCCACCUGGGCUGGGGAGGCUCCUUAGCUGAGUGUAGCUCAGACCGGAUGCCUUGGGGCCCCUAGCGUCCCACAGCACUUCAGCAAGGUUCCGCUGUGAGGUGCACCCAGGAGGGGUGCCCUGCCCAGGUGGAGGGAGCCACCCUGAGUUUUGCAGGUGAACCUGCUGGAGAUGUCAAAAUGCAGAUUCUAAACUCUGGGCCUUGGAGUUGCAUCUCUAACCAGCUCCCAGGUGACACCCACGCUGCUGGCUCCCAGCCACACCUGAGUAGCAAGGAUGUAGGGUAGACCCCGGUGCUGGAGGCUGCUCAGAGCCUUGGCCCGCCUGCUUCCCCCAAGGGACAGCCCUCGGCCCGGAGCCAGGGCCCAGCCGUGAUCCUCACUCUCUCACUAAUUAUCACUUUCCCUCUCUGGGCCUCAGUUUCCUUCUCAACUCCCUUGCUCUCCCCUGUUCCCACCCCCUGGGGCACAGGACUGCUCUCCCGCUGAGGGUGCUCACCUGCCCCACCUGGAAAGGGUCUUCAGGGCCACCUGCUCUCACCUGACGACUGCCUGAUGGGGCCUUUUUACCGUCUUCCCACACGGCGGAAGGUAGGAAAUCGCGGCAGUGAGGCCAGAAGACAGUGACCAAUGAAAAAGCCGCCUUGCCCAAGAUGCCCCCGUUAUCGGAGGCAGGGCCAGGACCGCAGCCUGACUGGGAGGCGGGUGGUCGUCGUGGCCGGGAGUGGCUGCUUGGAGCGCAGGGAGGUGAGCGGUCAGGAGCCUGGGAGACAGGCCCUCGCUGGAGGCGGCAGCAGUUUUUGCUGAAGCCAGAAAAGGUCCCAGCGUGUCUCCCGAGUUGACCAACACAACGGCCUCCCUUGUGUCGCCUGCAAAACGCAAGAGCAUCUCGGAAACCAGCACGCGGCCACUUGGCACAGUACCCAGACCCACAGGCCUGGUGCCCUCAUGGGCCAACAGGUGCUUCCAUGGACUUUCCUUAUUUGACAAGAUGCCUUUGACCAGAUGUUUCAGAGCUGGGAGACUUUCUGUAAAGCAAGGAUGGAGCCCUGGGGCCCCGGAAGGGUUGGCUCAGGACCCCCCAAAACAAGAGCUGUUUCUCACCCGAUCCCAAACCCUUUCUUUUGAUAAAAUGAUUAAAGCCAUUACUGUUUUAAUAAUACAAA